AGGCACGUAGCUCAGCUGGUUAGAGCACCGUCUUGAUAAGGCGGGGGUCGUUGGUUCGAGUCCAAUCGUGCCUACCA
rnacentral:tRNA from 1 species